rnacentral:rRNA from 1 species
AGACAGGUGCUGCAUGGCUGCGUCAGCUCGUGUCGUGAGAUGUGGGUUAAGUCCCGCAACGAGCGCAACCCUUGCCUUAGUUGCCAGCAGUUCGGCUGGGCACUCUAAAGGGACUGCCGGUGUUAAACCGGAGGAAGGUGGGGAUGACGUCAAGUCCUCAUGGCCUUUAUGACCAGGGCUACACACGUACUACAAUGGCCGAUACAAAGGGCAGCGACACUGCGAGGUGAAGCCAAUCCCGUAAAAUCGGUCUCAGUCCGGAUUGGAGUCUGCAACUCGACUCCAUGAAGUUGGAAUCGCUAGUAAUCGUGGAUCAGCAUGCCACGGUGAAUACGUUCCCGGGCCUU